ensembl:lincRNA
GGGAGAAGCAGGCUCCCUGCUGAGCAGGGAUUCAUCCCACAUGGAUCCCACUGGUCUGGAACCAAACCCACAGCAUCUCCGAGGCAUGCCUGUAAUCGAAAAAGAUGGAAGUAGAUCCUGGCCGUUCUAGAGCAGCCGAGAAACUCAGAAAUGCAGAGAUGUCUCAGGGGUGGAGGGAAGUGACUGGUAGGAGCGCUGUCUUUCCUGGAGGAGUCGGCUUCGAGUGCGUUGGGGGAAGGAGAGAGGGGGUAGCAGCCGCAAACCUUAACGCACUCCUUUACGACCAGAGCAAAGAAAGCGUCAGAGGGCGUGUGAUUCGCUGAAGUCCAGACCUAAUAGCUGUCAGUAGCUGUUCUUGGCAGCCCUCGGAGGUUCAGAUGCCCGGUGGUUGGCAACACUUUCAGAUUCUUGUCAUGGGAAUGAUUCAUUUAAAUACAAUAUGAGUACAUGGUUUACAUUUCCUCCUGGAAUUAAAAG